AACAUUCAUUGCUGUCGGUGGGUUUUCAUUGCUAUCAACUCACUGAUCAAUGAAUGCAAA
rnacentral:pre_miRNA from 1 species